CGGUAGCCAUCUUCGUGCAUAGGCAAACAUUGUAGCUAGACUGUACAAAGUAUAUCAAGAUAUGCCAAAUAUUGAGCUUAACUUCACCUGUUUGAGAGAUGUUCCUCUUGAACAGUUCAGACAAAUGUUAAUUUCAGUAAGAACUGCAUUAACAAGAUGAGAAAAAUGGAGUGUUGUGAACUACUUGUCAUGGGAUAACCAAAAUUAAACCUGGAAUCUCAGAAGAAACAAAUUGUUUGAAGAAGUUGGAUGUGCUUUUUUAAAAUUUUUCAUUCAACUAAAACUUUGUGAACUGUUUCUUGGUUGUGGUCUUCUCUAAAUUUUAAUCUUUGGCAUUCACUUCCAAAGUAUCCCCCACUAAACUUCAUAACAUUUAUUGUGUCUCUUCAUCAUUAAACUUUGAUGAAUUUACAGA
rnacentral:lncRNA from 1 species